rnacentral:tRNA from 1 species
GGAUUGUGGCUUAGUGGUAGAGCACUCACCUGUCACCUGCGAGGCCCUAGGUUCGAUCUUCAGCACCA